rnacentral:rRNA from 1 species
ACAAUGGAGAGUUUGAUCCUGGCUCAGGAUGAACGCUAGCGGCAGGCCUAAUACAUGCAAGUCGAACGGUAGACGAUCUUUCGGGAUUGUUGAGAGUGGCGCACGGGUGCGUAACACGUA